CAAGGAUGGUACUAUUGGGGCAUAGUGUUAAGACUCAAACCUGAGACUCCUUCCCCGUUCUGCUCUUGUUGCCUUCUCUGCUGAGCUAUGACAGCAUUGGCUGAGAGGCAUGGUUUUAGUACCAAUACUUCACAGAAAUUUUGCCUGCUCUUCAUAGUUUGUCUGAAUACAUUUAUCUUGAACAAAAAUGUGGUUAAUGCUUGACCAGUGACUGCAAAUUCUGAAGUUGAAUUUUUAUAGCUGAUUUUCCACCAUGUUCAUCUGGAAAAUAUAAAAGAAAAUGGGCACGCCACCCAGAAUAAGUGUGUAGAAAGGAAGAUGUACUGAUCCAAACUUAUCUUGCUAGGUAAACACUACUCACACGGUCACACCUAUGGUAAAUUGAACCGGUAACCUUAACCUCCACCCCUUAUUCAUGAGGACAGGAGAUGUCAUUUGGUUCAAAGACCAUUGGUUGAUAAGGGAAUAAGCUCAGAAGUGGUUCGUUCUAUCCUUGCAGAGCGGGCAAACUUGCCUUCUCUAGCAGCAAAGUCAGCAAAUAAGAUGGCAUCCUUGUCAAGAGGCAAUCUUUUUCCAAAGGUUGUUGAAGCAUAUUCUCGUCCAACAAGAAUUGUCCGUGGAAAGGAAGUGGACCCUGAUAUGGAGGUACCUUUUUCUUUCUACUAUAGAAGCCUUAUC